AACGAACGCUGGCGGCAUGCUUAACACAUGCAAGUCGAACGAGACCUUCGUGUCUAGUGGCGCAGGGGUGCGUAACGCGUGGGAACCUGCACUUAGGUUCGGAAUAACUCCCUGAAAGGGGUGUUAAUACCAGAUAAUGUCUUCGGACCAAAGAUCUAUGGCUUUUGGAUGGGGCCGCGUUGGAUUAGCUGGUUGGUAGGGUAAUAGCCUACCAAGGCGACGAUCCAUAGCUGGUCUGGGAGGAUGAUCAGCCACACUGGGACUGAGACCCGGCCCAGACUCCUACGGAAGGGGGGAGUGGAGAAUAUAGGACGAUGGGCGAAGGCGUGAUCCAGCCAUGCCGGGUAAGUGAUGAAGGCCUUAGGGUUGUAAAGCUCUUUUACCCGGGAUGAUAAUGACGGUACCGGGUAAAUAAGCACCGGCUAACUACGUG
rnacentral:rRNA from 1 species